rnacentral:rRNA from 1 species
UACGUAGGGACCAAGCGUUGUUCGGAUUUACUGGGCGUAAAGGGCGCGUAGGCGGCAAUUCAAGUCAUCUGUGAAAUCUCCGAGCUUAACUCGGAACGGUCAGAUGAUACUGCUUUGCUAGAGUGCAGAAGGGGCAAUCGGAAUUCUUGGUGUAGCGGUGAAAUGCGUAGAUAUCAAGAGGAACACCUGAGGUGAAGACGGGUUGCUGGGCUGACACUGACGCUGAGUGCGCGAAAGCCAGGGGAGCGAACGGG